AUACGUAGGGGGCAAGCGUUAUCCGGAUUUACUGGGUGUAAAGGGAGCGUAGACGGUAUGGCAAGCCCGAUGUGAAAACCCGGAGCUCAACUCCGGGAUUGCAUUAGGAACUGUCAAACUAGAGUGUCGGAGAGGCAAGUGGAAUUCCUAGUGUAGCGGUGAAAUGCGUAGAUAUUAGGAGGAACACCAGUGGCGAAGGCGGCUUGCUGGACGAUGACUGACGUUGAGGCUCGAAAGCGUGGGGAGCAAACAGGAUUAGAUACCCUGGUAGUCCACGCCGUAAACGAUGACUACUAGGUGUCGGGUACCACAGGUAUUCGGUGCCGCCGCAACCGCAUUAAGUAGUCCACCUGGGGAGUACGUUCGCAAGAAUGAAACUUAAAGGAAUUGACGGGG
rnacentral:rRNA from 1 species